CCUACGGGUGGCAGCAGUGGGGAAUAUUGGGCAAUGGGCGCAAGCCUGACCCAGCAACGCCGCGUGAAGGAAGAAGGCUUUCGGGUUGUAAACUUCUUUUCUCAGGGACGAAGCAAGUGACGGUACCUGAGGAAUAAGCCACGGCUAACUACGGGCCAGCAGCCGCGGUAAUACGUAGGUGGCAAGCGUUAUCCGGAUUUACUGGGUGUAAAGGGCGUGUAGGCGGGACUGCAAGGCAGAUGUGAAAACCAAGGGCUCAACCUGUGGCCUGCAUUUGAAACUGUAGUUCUUGAGUACUGGAGAGGUAGACGGAAUUCGUGGUGUAGCGGUGAAAUGCGUAGAUAUUAGGAGGAACUCCAGUGGCGAAGGCAGUCUGCUGGCGCGCAACUGACGCUGAGGCGCGAAAGCGUGGGGAGCAAACAGGAUUAGAUACCCUUGUAGUC
rnacentral:rRNA from 1 species